AGGAAUAUUGGUCAAUGGGCGAGAGCCUGAACCAGCCAAGUAGCGUGCAGGAUGACGGCCCUAUGGGUUGUAAACUGCUUUUAUAAGGGAAUAAAGUGAGAGUCGUGACUCUUUUUGCAUGUACCUUAUGAAUAAGGACCGGCUAAUUCCGUGCCAGCAGCCGCGGUAAUACGGAAGGUCCGGGCGUUAUCCGGAUUUAUUGGGUUUAAAGGGAGCGUAGGCCGGAGAUUAAGCGUGUUGUGAAAUGUAGACGCUCAACGUCUGCACUGCAGCGCGAACUGGUUUCCUUGAGUACGCACAAAGUGGGCGGAAUUCGUGGUGUAGCGGUGAAAUGCUUAGAUAUCACGAAGAACUCCGAUUGCGAAGGCAGCUCACUGGAGCGCAACUGACGCUGAAGCUCGAAAGUGCGGGUAUCGAACAGGAUUAGAUACCCUGGUAGUCCGCACGGUAAACGAUGGAUGCCCGCUGUUGGUCUGAACAGGUCAGCGGCCAAGCGAAAGCAUUAAGCAUCCCACCUGGGGAGUACGCCGGCAACGGUGAAACUCAAAGGAAUUGACGGGGGCCCGCACAAGCGGAGGAACAUGUGGUUUAAUUCGAUGAUACACGAGGAACCUUACCCGGGCUUGAAUUGCAGAGGAAGGAUUUGGAGACAAUGACGCCCUUCGGGGUCUCUGUGAAGGUGCUGCAUGGUUGUCGUCAGCUCGUGCCGUGAGGUGUCGGCUUAAGUGCCAUAACGAGCGCAACCCCUCUCCUUAGUUGCCAUCAGGUCAAGCUGGGCACUCUGGGGACACUGCCACCGUAAGGUGUGAGGAAGGUGGGGAUGACGUCAAAUCAGCACGGCCCUUACGUCCGGGGCUACACACGUGUUACAAUGGCAGGUACAGAGAGACGGUCCCUUGCAAAAUGGAUCAAAUCCUUAAAGCCUGUCUCAGUUCGGACUGGGGUCUGCAACCCGACCCCACGAAGCUGGAUUCGCUAGUAAUCGCGCAUCAGCCAUGGCGCGGUGAAUACGUUCCCG
rnacentral:rRNA from 1 species